GUGGAUUAGAUACCCGGGUAGUCCACGCCCUAAACGAUGUCUACUAGUUGUCGGUCCUUAAUUGGAUUGGUAACGCAGCUAACGCGUGAAGUAGACCGCCUGGGGAGUACGGUCGCAAGAUUAAAACUCAAAGGAAUUGACGGGGACCCGCACAAGCGGUGGAUGAUGUGGAUUAAUUCGAUGCAACGCGAAAAACCUUACCUACCCUUGACAUGCCAGGAACCCUGCUGAGAGGUGGGGGUGCUCGAAAGAGAGCCUGGACACAGGUGCUGCACGGCCGUCGACAGCU
rnacentral:rRNA from 1 species